ACUUUAGCAGUGUCUCUCUUUGUUAGUCACAUGAUGCUCCUGUUGCGCUCCAUCUUCUCGUCUACUACUGCCAUGUCCAAGACAAGGCAAGGUGGGUGGCCAGCACUACAGAGGAGUUCUUAACCUGGACCCACUGUCUGUUUAGAGAUAGACUUAUUGUUUAUUUGUUUGCUUAUUUACUUAGUUUUGGUUUUUCGAGAUAGGAUUUCUUUGUGUAGCCCUGACUGUCCUGGAAUGUGCUUUGUAGAGCAGGCUGACCUUGACUCACAGGAAUCUACCUGCCUCUGCCUCUCAAGUGCUGAGAUUAAAGGCAUGGGCCACUACUGCUUGGCUAAAGAUAGAAUUUUAAGGGGCAUCUAAGCACUAGCCUCAAGUGUGUGUGUGUACAUUUUCUCCUGUUCCCUCUGGAGCUUGGACCGAAAUUUUCCGUCUGAUUCCCAACAAGACCAUAAGCGUCAGGACCUGCCACCACACACCUGUGAUCUACCUCAGGUGGCUGCGGAAGGAACCUGUGAGCAGAGGCACAGCAGAAGAGGGCAUCAGAUCCCAUUACAGACAGUUUGGAGAACCAUGUGAUUGCCAGGAAUUGAACUCAGGACCUCCGGAAGAGCAGUCAGUGCUCUUAACUGCUGAGCCAUCUCUCCAGCCCGUCUUUCUGGAUUUUUAAAAGAGACUCUGAUGCCUAAUAAUAUUUAACUUUUCUUAUUUUGACAAAUGAAGGUAGAGCCUUGCUACACAGCCCAGGCUAGCCUGGAACCUACCUUUAUCUUGGCUCAGCACCCCAAUGCUUCAAUUACAGGACUCUGGUAUUCUGCCUGGAAGAAAUAAGGAUGACAUAACAAAUUAAGCGACACCAGAACAAGGGCGAAUCCUUCUUAAGGAUGCGGCUGUGAUACUUUGUUUAACUGGACACUCUGUGUGCUUCUCUGCUUUACCGCCCAAGGUGAGGGACGAGCUGCAGCAACGGAUGCACAACAGAGGACUGGGAGGACAUGAACACACACGAUGAGCACGGGGGCUCCUCAGCAUUGGGCGUUAAGAUGGCUUCCUGUCUGUCUGUCUGUCUGUCUGUCUGUUUCUACCCACUAUUCUCACCCCAGGUCAAAGGACAAGAAAAGGAAAUGAAAGGUAUUAUCUAAGAAAGCCCAUUGAGAGCCCUUUAAAGUGAAUAAAUCAAGGGGUAGGACAGAUGGCUAGUCAUACACUAAGCAGUGGCCCAUUAUUUGGAGAAGCACUUUGCUGAAGGCCUCGGAUCUGUUACAACUGCAACAGGUGCAGCCCCAGGUCACCUCUCUGGAAGGCAAAAAGCCAUCUGUCAAUGUCUACACUUACUCAAAAUAAUCCCCGGUCCAGACCAAGGCCACUUGCAAGUAUCAGUUUUCCCUUACAAACAUUGUUAUCUGGAUGCUUCUAGCACACAUGCCUGGAAAUCUCCUUCAUAAAUUAAACAUUUAAAAUGGACCAGGAGCAAGACAACAGGGGACACAAAGAUGACAAUGCGCUCUAGUAGCAAAAAAGGUAACGAAGACGCACUUUCUAAAAAUGAGAUGUCACGCAGGAGAAAAUGAGCGCACACCUGAGACACAGCUACCUGACAGAGUGGCUCUCUUAAGGUCUAAGUUGAGCUGAGCCUCCUUGCUAAUAUUAAAUUCAUUUAACAGAUGGGUGAGUUUUAGCCCUAGAUAAUGGUUAUCUGUUCAUGAAUACAACUUGUGUUUGGUAUGUAGCUAAUCUUGUUUAAAACUUCCAUCUGUUCAUAUGUAGGAUUAUCCCAUGAGGCACGCACUUAGAGUGGAGUUUAAAUUUUCAUUUACCUUUCCACAUACAUGUUUUAAAACACACUUUCCUUUUCAUUCUCUAAACUGCACCUAGUAGUGGAUCACAAGCUUAAAAGGAAUAUUAUGGUCAAAAAAUAAAUUCCAUAUUUAUUAAUAUUUUCCAGUGCAGAAGAUCAAACCCCGGGUCCUUGCUUAUGCUAGGUGAGGGGUCUGCUUCUACACCUCAGCCCUAGCCAGUUUGUAUGUUUUAAGUCCAUGCA
rnacentral:lncRNA from 1 species